CCCCCUAGGACAAAACUAAAUUACCACCAGGAACAACAGGUGGGCAGUUUCAACUCAACCCCAAAACAACAGCAAGCAGCAAAAGAGAAAUUCAAAAAGCAAGAGAUGGCACGACAAAGAUUUAGCAGGAGUCCGAGUCCCAGCCAGAACCAUUCCAUCAGUCCUUGGAGGAGAAGCAGGAGCCCACAACUUUCGAGGACCCAAUUCUAUGGGAGGAGAAAGGCCCAGAUCAAUGGGAGGAGAAGGGAACAAUUUGGGAGGAAAAGGGUCCACUUCUUUGGGAGAAAGGUCCAUUACUAUGGGAGAAAGAGAGGGAGGAGAGGAGGAUAUAGAAGACUCUCUAAUAGAAGGAGGAGGAGAAGAUAGAAAACUCACCACGUCAAUAGAGCUGUUCCUACCUGGGAGUUUAAAAGCAAAAAAAGAUCUUCAAUCCCCUUCAAAGUUGUUCAGUACACACCAAAAGAAAAAACCAAGAUUCCCACUCAAGUGUCUGAGGUCUGAGAGAAGCUGAUGGAUCCGGUACACACCAAAAGAAAAAAACCAAGAUUCCCAGUCAGUGUUUGCGGUCUGAGAGAAACUAAUGGAUCCAAAUAGUCAAAUGCCUGCCACCUGUCAAUAAAUCCUGAAAAUUACUCGUUGUCAGAUCCACUUUCUUGCACUAAGAAGACUUGCUCGUCACCUAGCUUGCACGCUUGUGCACGGCCACCUUGGAUGGACAGUUGAUACUCCUUCUCCUC